rnacentral:misc_RNA from 1 species
AAGUCGUAACAAGGUUUCCGUAGGUGAACCUGCGGAAGGAUCAUUAACACGUAUGCUGCGUUUUAACAAAUCCCUCUCUCAACCCCUCUGUGAACUUUUUGCUCUUCUUGCGAAGAGCUAAUUUCAAAAUUAAAUCCUCGAUUGAAAGUUCGCUUUCAGUUGAGGUCGCUUCAAGCUUUCUGUUUUUGGUCGGCUUUCGAGUCGAACAAAGCAAAUACAAAAACAACUCUUAACAACGGAUAUCUUGGUUCUC